UCCAGACUCCUACGGGAGGCAGCAGUGGGGGAUAUUGCACAAUGGGGGGAACCCUGAUGCAGCGACGCCGCGUGGGUGAAGGAGCGUUUCGGCGCGUAAAGCCCUAUCGGCAGGGAAGAAGGAGGACGGUACCUGACUAAGAAGCCCCGGCUAACUACGUGCCAGCAGCCGCGGUAAUACGUAGGGGGCAAGCGUUAUCCGGAUUUACUGGGUGUAAAGGGGGCGCAGACGGCAGCGCAAGCCAGGAGUGAAAGCCCGGGGCCCAACCCCGGGACUGCUCUUGGAACUGCGCGGCUGGAGUGCAGGAGGGGCAGGCGGAAUUCCUAGUGUAGCGGUGAAAUGCGUAGAUAUUAGGAGGAACACCGGCGGCGAAGGCGGCCUGCUGGACCGUAACUGACGUUGAGGCUCGAAAGCGUGGGGAGCAAACAGGAUUAGAUACCCGGGUA
rnacentral:rRNA from 1 species